CGGCCGGCUCAGGUACACCUGUCGAACGCGGGUCCAUACAACGCAAGCCGCCCACCAGACUACCACCUGUGGGUCUAUGAUCCACACCGUAGAUCCCUGCUGUACUUUAGUGAAUAGCAAAACAAUGUGUGUAGUACCGUAUAAACCGGAUAUCGAGAUAGUUUCGUGAAAAGAUGCUGGCUAAUGUCACCGCUCGUGUUAUACACACUGGUCUUUAGCGGAACGCGGGUCGCUGUCUGGCAACCUACUGCGUUCAUGUUGGAGAACGCAUAGCCAAAGCCGUAUCCAUAUCCAAGUGGAACUGCUGCUUUUCUUUCUUUUUGUUUCUUGUCACCUGUGUAUUCUUGUGUGCGCUCUUCCAAUAGACCUCGGGAUUCGAACGACGGUGAACGCUCGAAGGAACUCAUGGGAAUGAAUGCGUUCGAGUGCACAAAUGACAGUCAUCCUCCCACCUCUGGAAUACUGUAUUACACACAGGCUGCCACAAGUUGCGAGAUGCUUCACCUGCCCUGUCACAUUUAGUAGAGUGCGAAAACAUACGAACAUAAAGGCAUCCCGCAGCAGGCACAAGUUUGGUUUUUCUUAAGGAGCCCUUGAAUUUCACUCAGGUAUAACAAAUUGCGUGAGUCGAAUUUUGGAUCUUCGAAACCAGCAUAGAAGUUUCUCCAACUGCGAAUUGAACAUUUUUCUUUAGGCGAAAAAAAAAUUGAGGCUGUAAGAGAUUGAGGGAAUAAUUCUGAGUUAAUUAGUGCAUCUUAAAUUACGUACCUGAGCAAUCCUAUGUCCCCUGUAGUUAAUUCCCACCUCUUCAUUAAAUCUGCUUUAAUAUUCAGGAGGACGUUGUCUGUCACCGGGCAUUUCUUAAGAUCUCUUCGAACUAUAUGAAAAGAACAAGUGCCAUAUUACAUACUUCCACCACAGAAGCACUAUAUGAAACUAAGUUUCGCCGUCCGGACUUUUCCACUAAGCCUUGUGAUGAUGCGAAGAGAAGGCCACUUAAGAGACUCUGUAUUUAUGAAGGUAUAAGCUGGGCCGAAGUGCACUGCGGCAAUCAAGCUGGCCUGCCUCAUCUGAUGGUCACUAGGCAACGUGAGGUAACGCAGAGCCCCGGAGUGGAGAACUGAUCGUUGCAGUGUUCCUACUGUGUACGAAACGUUUUAAACCUUUCUCCAAGACACACUGUCCCAAUGAAAUACUUUACUUGCUUCGUAUGUUGCACGUUGUGAUUGCGUUUUGUGUAUGCUGCGUGUCGGUGACGUGCACUGAGCGUACCACUUUAUUUCUCAUCCUUCCCGUCUGUGGUAGUGUGCUAUUAUAUAGGCGUGCCGCCAGGCAUGUUUCUUCUCCAAGAUCCAUUAAAGGGCCUUGCUCUUUCCCUCUCAACCAAGUUCACUAGCCAAAUCAAAUCACGCCACGAGUUCUCCACUGCGCAUUUUCUCUAUUCUGGCGUAUUUUACGCCCGCUGAACCUUUAUUACAGCUACCCAGGCGUUAUUCAUGGCUGAACUAGCAAGAGGAGCGGACAGAGAGAAGAAGUGUCUUGGUUGACCUCUUAGUGGCCGUAUAAUCCUAAGAUCAUCGUAGGCCAAUAAUUCAUUUACUUUUCUCGUCCAGAUUCUAUUUGACGGCUUUUAAACGAUCCCGUUAAUUAGUUAUCUAAAGAAAAAAUACGAAGAAAAUGAUUGCUUCGUGAGUUAUACCUUUAAAAUUUUUGUUAUAAGCUGGGGGACACGUGACCUAUGCAGAAGCGGACUUGAAGUGAAUGAAUUCGUACGGGAAUUAAAGUGAACCAGUAGGCUGUUGUUCCGUUUAUUUUCCUCUCAGAGCCAUUCGGGCGUUUCGUACACGCAGGUCAAAGCGGGCGAAAAAGGCUAUUAAUUCCGAACGGCGCAAGCUAUUUCUUUAGCAGUGGGCCGUUCCCAGCGGUUUCGCACUUUGCUAGUUCGUUUUUCAUAUGUACCAGGGUUCGUGCCUAGCGCGCGACGGACGCGAUAUCAAUUCAGAACGGCAAGCACUUCACAGGUGCAAAAGUUGGUAGGCCCUCGUCGGGGCGCGCGAGAGCCAAACUGCAGGCACAAAUAAACUUUGCUCCAAUCCAAUCCAAUCGCAGCGCCGCGUAGCAGAAUCUGCAGCUUGAAGUAUUAAACGAAAGAAAGAAAGAAAGAAAGAAAGAAA